AUUGAACGCUGGCGGCAGGCCUAACACAUGCAAGUCGAGCGGAUGAGAGGAGCUUGCUCCUUGAUUUAGCGGCGGACGGGUGAGUAAUGCCUAGGAAUCUGCCUGGUAGUGGGGGAUAACGUUCCGAAAGGAACGCUAAUACCGCAUACGUCCUACGGGAGAAAGCAGGGGACCUUCGGGCCUUGCGCUAUCAGAUGAGCCUAGGUCGGAUUAGCUAGUUGGUGAGGUAAUGGCUCACCAAGGCGACGAUCCGUAACUGGUCUGAGAGGAUGAUCAGUCACACUGGAAAGGAGACACGGUCCAGACUCCUACGGGAGGCAGCAGUGGGGAAUAUUGGACAAUGGGCGAAAGCCUGAUCCAGCCAUGCCGCGUGUGUGAAGAAGGUCUUCGGAUUGUAAAGCACUUUAAGUUGGGAGGAAGGGCAUUAACCUAAUACGUUAGUGUUUUGACGUUACCGACAGAAUAAGCACCGGCUAACUUCGUGCCAGCCGCCGCGGUAAGAC
rnacentral:rRNA from 1 species